CAUGUGCGGUUCGGGUCAGGUAGGGUGGUUUGUGCGGGUCGGAUAACCCAAGCCCAGCCCUAUUGAAGGGGCAAAAUCGCAGUAAAAGAGAAGGGUUCGAAUCGUCUCAUCGCAGAGAGAUGAAGAGUUGAGGGAAGGAGCAAAGCGAAGAAGUAAGCAAGCUCAAAUGGCGGAUUGAGGUGCCUCUUUUACCAUCACUGACGGACAACCCGUUUCAUUGAUUUUCAGCUCUCCCAGGUUGUUCAUUGAUUUUUCUUCAAUCGGCUUCAUUGACAUUGAAUUUGUACAAGACUAAUAUAGAAGAUCCACACCAAUGGUUUUGUUUAGAUAACAAUUAAAAAUUCAAAUCCAUCCCCUACCUCCUAUGUUCUGCUUUACCCGACUAAAUUUCUGAGUCACUGACUGAUUUCAGUAUCAAGAUGAGGAAUUCUCAAUUUGGUUCAUUCUCCUUUGGGUUAUUGCCAUUUUUGAGGAAGAAUUCUCCGUUUGGGUAUGCAAAUUUCUGCGUAGAAAACAUAAAUUUUUUUACGAGUUUUCACUAGGUGCCUUUAUGCUAGUGAAAUGGAACUUCAGUAGCAUUGUUGAGGUAACUUUUUCUGUGGCUUAGUUGUUAGACAUCCAAACACUUCCUGCCAUGUUCUUUGGCUUAUUUAGCAUUUAAUUUGGAAGAUGAGCGGGAUUUCUAAAAUUUGACAUUGAAACUCAGCUGAAUAGGUCAUUCCUUGAUAUGUAUUAUGUCGUAUUGUUUUACUUAUUUUGUCACUCAACCUGCGAAUUCAAAUAAUUUCGCCUUCCUUUUAUAUCGAUGAUGUUACUGUUAUUAUAUUAUAUAUAUAUUGGAUCCUUUUAGCAUUUUGCUGCAUGUUAAUGUUUCAUGCCAUAUGUUGUUUGUAGGACUAGGUUUAGUCUUUGUGAUCUUUCUUUGUCUUUAUUGGUUUUAUCAUGGUAUUUGGGUGGUGCUCCUUUGGCACCUGUUUUAAUGCAAUUUUCUUAUUUACUUGCCAAAAAAAGUUGUGGUUCCCACCAUUGUUUGUGUUUCGCACACCUUGUUAUCUUCAAAUUGAUCUCCACAGUGGAAUGUGCUCUGAUCUCUUUUCAAUGAUGAAUCAACUAAUUUUUAUGUCUGAUUUUGAUGUGUGGAUACACACCAUACUUAUCUUCUAGGAAUGUUUGCUAAUCAAGAGUUUUGGUUUUGUCCUUUCAAGUAUUUCAUAUCUUUGAUAAGCAAAGAAACAACAAUUACUAUUAGUUGAUACUCGUAUGAGGUAAUAGUUUGGACCACAGUUGAGCACAUUGUCUAGCUAAAUAGGUAUUUAAUUUUAGAACCACUUUAAUAUGUUGUGUUUGUCAUAUUUGAAAUCUAUGUGAACUAUUUAGAUAAAAUGGUUGCAUUUUAAGGCCUUUUCUUGGUUGCAAGAGAAUUUUCAUUUUGGUUUUAUUUAAUAUUUUUAGCAUCACAUUUUUAGAUAAUAUAUUUUGUUAGCCAGUUUGAAUAAGUUUGCUUUAUAAAUGUUCGCUCAGAACAUGUAUCAGUAAUUAGCAUUUUCACAGUAAACUAGUAAAGGUAGAAACUUACAACCAUUUUCACAUGGAUUGGAAGCAUAUUACACUUUUGUUUCAUACAAGUACAGAAUCGACGUUAAAUAUCAAGUUUACCAUUCUUGUUCAAUUGGUAAAGAAGAAUACCAAUCUUGGCAAAGCUAGCUUACUAUGCUACUUUGUUGAAUAAUGACUGGUGUUCGUAGUGAAAUUGAGAUGUACCCUUACUGUUAAUAUGCUGCAUAUAUAUUGCUGUAUUACAUGAUUAGUGUAUAUACUUUUUGCUAUCGUUUAAUUUUUAAUUUUUUGUCCUUAGUUAUUGAUGUAGUUGUUUUUAUCAUUUCUUCAAAUUUUAGUCCUUGGGAUGAAGCUCCAUAUAAGGAUGCUGCAGAGAAAACUGCUUUGGGAGGGAUAUCACUUGAUGGGUUUUUGUCGGAGACAAGUGUUUCCUAUUUCUUUUCAUUUCUUAGUCAUUCAUUUCUGCAAUUAGCAAUACCAUGAGUUUUACUUGCAUUGUAUAACUAUUGUGAUUAUAUCGAUUAGUUCACACAUGAAGUUCUACUGUUAAAAAUCCAAUAUGUAGAAAAAUUUACAAUUGUAAUGUUAUUUGUUGAUAUGGAGUUAUCUUUCUUUU